rnacentral:lncRNA from 1 species
AUUUUAUGCUGGGUUCAGCUGAGCAGUUUUCUGCCAGUCAUAGGUGUCUCUGCUGGGCUCUCCCAUGCUCUGCCAGGAAAGCUGGGGGCUGGCUCUCUCACAUCACUGGAGCCUUGGCUGGGACAGUUCAUCCCUGCUCCAUGGGGUCUCUCAUUAUCCAGGAGGCUAGCCUGGGCUUCUUCACACAGCCAUCUCAGGGUCCAAAGAACAGCAAGAGAAGACAAGGAGAUUUCGGGCAAUACUGCAUUCACUACAGACAAGUCUGCUUCUGGAGAGACAUGCUACUGAUAGCAAAGAAGGAAGAACAGAAAAGAAAACCAAAAGAGGAAGAAGCACAAGCUGACCAGCAUGGAGAAACUCCAGACUGCUUCUCCCCACUCGGCCCCUCUCUAGUACUCCAGCCUCAUUUUGUCUUAGCUUUGAUACAGCCUCUUCACUCUGGUCACUCCUAUCAUGUGCCUGACAAAAAAGUGGGUCAUAGGAAUGCUCAAAAUGGAAGGAAUCCAGUUACAACCCGGAAGGUCUUUCUUCCCCUCCCAAUCACUCUCACCUGUGACCUACAAGUGACCUACAAGUGACUACAAGUGGAAGGGUAAGGCUUCCAAGCAGGUUCUCUUUGUAAGCUGAACAAUCAAAAUCACUUGCAUUGUUGAUACAUUUUCUUGGCAACACCCACUUAGAUUUCAUUUUUUGGAUAUUAACAGCAACUGUUUUCUUUUUGCUCACAGGAGGGGCUCUUGUCCAACAUGAAAGUCCACUGAAAUCCAAACGGGCACCCCUGCUCCAGGGAAGGUUUGAGCAAGGAUAGCUCUGAUUAACUUGGUGCUUCUCUAUUGGGAAGUUCUAGAAAGGACCAGGUUGAUGAAACUUCCUCUACUGGAUCUUUUCCAAAUGACUUUCAUCAUUUGUUAGAAGUGAAUUCUAGCUGAAACCUAGUCUUAUUGAAAAGUAAGUUUAAAUGUGUACAUCAAAGACAAAAGGGGCAAGAACAAGGCAGGGAUGGGCCAUUCCCUCUAUAGUGAAGAUAAGGGAGCAACCGUUUCUUGCGCACUCUCAUUGUCAAGAGUGGCGGCAAUAAUAACAACAACAAUAAUAAUAAUGCAUAAAGCAAGUGUUCCAUUAAUAUUUUCUUUCAAAAAAAUUGAAAUGCUUCAUAGAAAUCUCCACGAGCUGGAGUUCACCUCUCACGGAUGGACAAUAACAUGAGCAAACUCUUGUAGCUGGCCUUGGCUACACUGUGUGGGAGGUAAACAACUGCUCUCUUUCAUCCCAGGUAGAGAGGUUCAGACACUUCUGGGCCAAACAGAGUAGAAGAGUCUGUAUGCUGUGUUUUGUUUUGUUUUGUUUCAGUUAGUAAAUAUAACUACCAUUAGCCAUAAGUACAUGUUAUUCACAUAUUAAAAAUUUUUUUUAAUUUUUUUCUUUAUUCUAUAGGGAAUAAAAAGCCGUUCAAGUUUCUGAUAAAGCAAAUGACAUUCUCCAACUUGUGCGCAGGAAGAUAACUCUGGUGGCUGUGUGAAGGAUGAACGGGCUGAUGGAGACACUGAAGGUGAGGCAGAUAAGGAGCUUCUUACAAAAGAUGGUGCCAAGCCAAACUAGGAUAAACACAGAAAGGGGAGGAGGUGAGAGAUAAAAGAAAUAUGGCAAAGAAUAAAAAUCACUAGCAGUUAGCUACUGAUCAAGGUGAGAGAGAGCGAGGCAGAGAAAUGAAGCCUGGAGGAGAAAGACAUGCAUGGAAAAGUUGCAGAGCAAGAAUAAAUUCUGUGAUGGUGUUACAGAUGCUCAUGAACCCUGCCCAGGUGCCCCAGCGAAGGGUGAACACCCACUAGGACCUGCUCAAAAGGCGGGGCUGAUACCUGCCUCAAACCAAAAGGGGAGAAGUGAGCCCACUGGCAUACCAACAUACGAAAAAGCACACAUUUGGAGUUAGUUGCCUGGGUUUGAGUACCUGCUUACCCUCCCUUCUCCCCACAAGCCUCAAGCAGCCCAGGGCAGGCUACUAACCCUACUGAAGCCAAAGCUUCCUGAUCUGAAAAUGAAGACAAUAUGCCCUGUAGCGCUGUUAGGAAAAUAAACAGUCGCAUGCAAGAUGGCACCUACUGCAGGCCUGGCAUAUAUCAGGGGCUGAACAAUUAGUAAGAGUUCUCAUCAGCCACACAAAUGUUCCUAUGCGGGGCUCAGAAAGAAUGCAUGACUUUCCCAAGGUGAUGCAGCAUAUUAGUAACAAAACCAGAACUCAGUGUCAGUUUGUCUGAAUUAUCUUCCCUGUAAGCUCUAUUUCCCAAAAAGCAAGAACAUGCGCCGCUUUCUCCUGCACAGCUUCACGUUCUCCGUGUCCUUAGCAUACUUUGUUUUCAGAUCCUGGUCAACAAACAAGGCAAAACACUAAAGACGACUUUCAUUCCCAAUAUGAAAACACUUUUCUGUUGAUACAGCGUCUUUUAUCAUUUUCCUUAGCCCACGUAACAACUUUUUUUGAAAUUCUGAAUGACACAAUUUACUGCAUUGUUUUUGUCAUCUAUUGUUACAAAAGGGCCCCAGAAUUUACUGGCUCAAAGGGACAAUUUGUUAUUUCCAUCAGUUCUGUACCUUGUCUGGGCUCAGAUGGAGGGUUCUCCUGCUCCACGUGGUACUGGCUGGGUCACUUUUGCGGCUACAUUCAUCUGAGAGCUCAAUCAGAAAGUGGAAAGCCCAAAAUGCCUUCACUCAUACAGCUGCUGCCGGAAUAGCCAGGGGCUGGCUGGGUCUCUCUCUCUCUUCACAUUCUUGGCUGUCUGGCCCAAGCUUCUUUACAAAGCAGCUGGGUCCCAAGGGGUGAAGCAGAAGUUUUCGGAGAGCUUCAGGCCAGGGCUCAAAGUCCAGAAGGUCACCUCCACAGCAUUACAUUGGUCAAAGCAAAUCCCAAGGCCAGGCCAGGUGCAAGGGGAGGGAAACAGACUCCACCUCUUGACAUACACACACUCCCACCAGGAAAGGGAGGAAUUGUCAGGAGGAAGUGUUGGUGGCCAUCUUUGAAAGCAUUUACCAAAACCAUUAUUUGUUGGGGCCAGCCCAGCAGCAUAGUGGUUAAGUUCAUGUGCUCUGCUUUUGUGGCCCUGGUUCACUGGUUCCAAUCACAGGUGCAGACCUAUGCCCUGCUCAUCAAGUCAUUCUGUGGCAGGCAUCCCACAUAUAAAGUAGACGAAGAUGGGCACAGAUGUUAUCUCAGGGCCACUCUCCCUCAGCAAAAAGAGGAGGAUUGGCGGCAGAUGUUAGCUCAGGGCCACUCUUCCUCAAAAAUAAAAAAGAAAGAAACAUUAUUUGUAAAAUCUGGGCUUCAGAGGCAAUAGUAAACUAUUUUGUUACAACUUUUUAGAAAGUAUCUCAUCCAUUGAUAAACUAAACUUGUUUUUUCUAAAUGUCUUUUACCCUUGAUUUCCCAGGAAGCAUAUAUUUGAGGAUCGUAGCAGGGUGGGUGUGGCCUUCAAAAAGAUGUCCAAAUCCCCAGAACCUGUGAACGACCUUAUUUGGAAAAAGUCUUUGCAGAUGUCAUUAAAUUAACAAUUUUGAGACAAGCUCAUUCUGGAUGUCCCAGGUGGGCCCUAAAUCCAACGACAAGUGUUCUUGGAAGAGACACAAGAGGAGAAAACACACAGCAGAGGAGGAGACGUGAAGACAGAGACAGAGAUCAGAGUGGCGUGGUCACAAGCCAAGGAAGCCAGGAACGUCCACAGCCAGCAGCAGCGGAAGCGGCAAAGGAUGCUCCCCCAGCCUCCAGAGGCAGUAUGGCCCUACACACGCAUUCAUUUCAGGCUUCUGCCCUCUAGAACCUGAGAGAAUAAAUUUUUCAUUUUAAGCCACCCCGUUUUCAGUAAUUUUUUACAGCAGCCACAGGAAACUAAAUACAAGGAUCGUCCCUCUUUAUACUUAAGACUAAACGUUUCACUCCCAUUUUAGGAUGGUGGUUUUUAGGGCAAUGGCUGUGACUCUUGGCUCCUGCUGUCCCCACCCACUCAGCAGAGACACGGAGGAAGGCCCCUUACCUGAAAACUCAGCCUUGUCCACGUCUUCAGCCACUCCUGACAGAAACACGUAGAACGCCAGAAGCCUCUGUUUCACCAGAUCCUUCUAGAAACAGUCUUGCUACUCAAAGUUCCCAGAGCCACAGCCCCUCCCUUCGCCCAUUUCCCGCAUCCACAGGAUGGGCCCAGGCUUCGGAUCACGGAGCUGAAGUUGCAGCGCCACGACCUAUGACCUUCGGUAACUUACAUAAAUUCUCAGAGCUGCAGUUUCGUUCUCGGUAAAAUCUGAAGAUAUUACCUUCCUCGUAGAGCUAUUUAAAGAACUAAAUAGGGGCCCGGGCUAUUACUGCGGAAGUUGUGGCAGGCUGGGAUGCUCCUCAAAAUCGCGGAGGGCGCCUGGGGCUACGAGCCAGGACUUACUCCUCGGCAAGGCAGUACUUCGCACAGGCGCCCUGUGAGAAGCUGGACUGCCCCUCUCGCCCACACAGGUGCCAGGUGAGCGGCUGGCAGGCUCCUCUCAUCCACGCAGGCACCCUGUGAGAGGUUCCGUGGCCCCUCUCGCCCACGCAGGCGCGCUGUAAGCGUCUCUGAGUCUCCUCUCUCCCACGCAGGCGCCCUGUGAGCCGCUCAGCGUCGUCUCUCAUUCACGCAGGCGCCCUCUGAGCUGCUCAGCUGCCCGUCUCACUCACGCAGGCGCAAACCCAGGUGGUCUACGUUGGCAGAGUUUCCUCGGCCGUCCGCACCGCAACUCCUGGAGCCCCGAGGCUGCCAGGCCCUUCACGUGCGAUCUCAGGCGUUGGUGAUGAUGGGCAGGGCCACCCUGCAGCGCACGUCUGACCCUGGCCGUGGUGAGGCCACGCCCGACGCCAACUACACAGUGUUCGACUUUGAUGCCUUCUGCCAGGCGCGCUACAGAAGCAGCCAGAGCAAGGAUGGUGCCGGAGAGCCCAGGCUAUGUUCCAGGAAGAAGCUCUAAGCAACAACUGACCUGGAUCCAACCACUCUGAACAGGACCACACUGUCCCAGACCACAGCCACAAGACUGACACCUGCACAGACAGGCAGAGUUGUACUAAAAUAACCUGCCCUCCUUAAUGUUUGGAAUUCUCCUCCUCUGGGAGGGGCAAAGCAGCCACUUUUAGAUCCUGUGAUGUGUGUAAAAGCAUGAUUUCAAACCACGUGUCCAAGCUUAUGCCCACUUCUACAUGUGAUGAUGAAACUUCCCCUUUGAAUAGUCAUUCCCUCUCCCAAAUAAAGGUACCCACGUCCCAGUGCUGGGGGAGCCAUUGCUUUGUGAAAUUAUUCUCUAUGGUCUCCAUUUUCUUUGCUGCAUGCCACAAAUAAAAUGUCUGCUUUGUGUGACAACUACUUCUGGUGUAGUUUAACUCCCAAGAAGGGGACUCAUGUUUGGUCUGGUAACAAUUCUUCCUUGGUCAGAGUCAGACCCCAUUCCCACUUCUGUUGGUGGCAUGUGGGAGUGAGAGAGCAUGGUCAUUGAGUAAGGAAUGAAUGUUCCUGUGCCCAUACUUAUCUAAUGUAUGACCUUGGAGAAGGUACUCUGUGGGCAUGACAGCAGAGGAGCAAAUCAUUUGCACUCUUGAGGUCUGUCACACUUUAUUAUCCAUAGUGCUAAUGGGCUGAGUGAUUAAAACAUUAUGCUAGUAGGGCCAGAUUCAUCCUUAGCACAGUGUGCCUACCAUCCGAUCAUCCCUUUACCAGCCAGCCCCAUUGCUAACUGUGUAGACCAUCCCCUCUCAGAAAUAGAGCAACAGACUGGGAGUUUGAGUCAUUUGAGUGUGGCCCAUCCUCCUAUUUAGGUUGCAGUGCUUUUGUAGGAUCCAGAAGCCAAGCCUUUGAAACACCGCUGCUUGAGGCUGUGGGGAGUUUGGGGAGUUUGGAGUAGAUGGGACUACUGAAGGACAGGAGGCACAUAGUGGAAACUCCGUAGCUUAUUCAGAGCUCGCUGAGGCUUUUCUUUUCUUUAUUUUUGUGGUAGGCAGUUGGUCAUCGCUUGCUAGAGCUGUAGUAGUCAGCUCUCUCAACCCUGAGUCACUGCACAUGGGGAGUGGCUUUGUUGUGAGAUUGUAG